GUGUCAGCCGCCGCGGUAAGACGAACCGUCCAAACGUUAUUCGGAAUCACUGGGCUUAAAGGGUGCGUAGGCGGCGCGGAAAGUUGGGUGUGAAAUCCCUCGGCUCAACCGAGGAAUUGCGCCCAAAACUUCCGUGCUCGAGGAAGAUAGAGGUGAGCGGAACUUAGGGUGGAGCGGUGAAAUGCGUUGAUAUCCUAAGGAACACCGGUGGCGAAAGCGGCUCACUGGAUCUUUUCUGACGCUGAGGCACGAAAGCUAGGGUAGCGAACGGGAUUAGAUACCCCCGUAGUCC
rnacentral:rRNA from 1 species